rnacentral:rRNA from 1 species
AUUGAACGCUGGCGGCAUGCCUUACACAUGCAAGUCGAACGGCAGCACGGGUGCUUGCACCUGGUGGCGAGUGGCGGACGGGUGAGUAAUACAUCGGAACAUGUCCUGUAGUGGGGGAUAGCCCGGCGAAAGCCGGAUUAAUACCGCAUACGAUCUACGGAUGAAAGCGGGGGACCUUCGGGCCUCGCGCUAUAGGGUUGGCCGAUGGCUGAUUAGCUAGUUGGUGGGGUAAAGGCCUACCAAGGCGACGAUCAGUAGCUGGUCUGAGAGUACGACCAGCCACACUGGGACUGAGACACGGCCCAGACUCCUACGGGAGGCAGCAGUGGGGAAUUUUGGACAAUGGGCGAAAGCCUGAUCCAGCAAUGCCGCGUGUGUGAAGAAGGCCUUCGGGUUGUAAAGCACUUUUGUCCGGAAAGAAAUCCUUGGCCCUAAUACGGUCGGGGGAUGACGGUACCGGAAGAAUAAGCACCGGCUAACUACGUG